rnacentral:tRNA from 1 species
GGUGGGUUGGCGGAGCGGACAAACGCGCACGACUUGAAAUCGUGAGCCUUUUGGCUACACAGGUUCGAAUCCUGUACCCACCG